UUACCAGAGUACUAUGAACGUUGUAAAUUUAAAACUCAAAGAACUUGGCGGUGUUUUAGACCAUUUAGGGGAACCUGUCUCGUAAUCGAUAAUCCACGUUGUACCUGACCUUUUUUUGUUUUCAGUUUGUAUACCGUUGUCGUCAGGUAACUUUUUAGAAGAUAGAAGUUGGCCGGAAAAAUAAUUGAUUUAAUACGUCAAAUCAAGGUGCAGCUAAUAAGAAGGGGAGGAUGGGUUACAGUUAUAUAGUUAUAAUUACGGAUAAUUAUAUGUAAGUAUAAAUUAUGAAGGCGGACUUAAAAGUAAAUUAAAUUAUGAAAAUGACUUGAAUAAGGCUCUGAAACGUGU
rnacentral:rRNA from 1 species